rnacentral:misc_RNA from 1 species
UCCUAGUUAACCUAGGCAGUCUCAUUAGAGUGCCCACCUUAAGUGAUGGCAACUAAUGAUAAGGGUUGCGCUCGUUGCGGGACUUAACCCAACACCUCACGGCACGAGCUGACGACAGCCAUGCAGCACCUAUACAGAAGUCCUUGCGGAAAACUACAUUUCUGUAGUCGCCCUCUGCAUUUCGAGCCCAGGUAAGGUUCUUCGCGUUGCAUCGAAUUAAACCACAUGCUCCACUGCUUGUGCGGGCCCCCGUCAAUUCUUUUGAGUUUCACCCUUGCGAGCGUACUCCUCAGGCGGUGUACUUAUCGCGUUAGCUCCGACACAGCCAGGGUUGAGCCUAGCUACAUCAAGUACACAUCGUUUACGGCAAGGACUAC